AUGAUCUACGGAUUCGAGUCGUCACCAUCUUCUUCGUCAUCAGACGAUGACUUUCCUGUCGUUCCCGAAAUGCGUCCAACCGACCUGUUGAGUUUGGCCAUGAAGAAGCGUCGUGCAUUGUACAACCAGAAGGAAAGGAACAUGCGGUGCGAGGUUUUGCAAACCUCGUUUAUUACUAGUUUGUAAUGAUCAACAUCAGCUGUGCGUCGCCGAACCAAUCGCCAAGAAAGCCAAAACAAGCAACUUCAUGGAUCCCUUCGGACUGGAAGAUUUCUUCAAGGGAAUUAGUUCCCGAUCUGUUAAAGGUUGUCUACUACUGAGCUAGCUGUGGACCACGUCAUUCUCGCUCAUCAUCGGAUCGUUCCCCACUGAGCAACUCGACUCCGAAGUCACUGGAGGAUAGCGCUUGAAGACCGUCGUUCAUCAGGAUCUCACCGAUUUCAUAUUACGGGCAUCGUCUCAAUAGGACAACUUGAAAUAAACAUGGUUUUUUAAUACAUACCUCUUCAAUAUUCUUUGUAGAACGUCGGUAACGACUUCCUCGACAACAACAACAGCAGACCACGCGCGAAAAUGGGGAUUGGUAUUUAUGUGUUUCAAUCAUUUUAAAAGUAAAGAAACCGGUUUAUCAUCGGUUUGCAGAUCACCGAUGGAUGUCAAAUUCAGUUCGUAGACAAUCGGCCUUUCAUUUUAUGCCAGCUGGUGCCUUUCACUGACCCAAAAAAUCAUCCCUGUCCUCAUCUUUAAACGGGAGGCCCAAAAUCCAAAGAUUGUCCCACAUGAACGACUUCAAAUAAAGCGCGGGGAGAGGUUACCGGUAUUUAUGUGAUUUAGUUUUACCGUAUUUUAGAUACUGGCAGUAUUGUCGAAUUCCAGAUCAAACAAGGUUCUCUGAGACGGUCGUGCGCUUGAUGUAAAUGCUCGGUGUUACGAAAAAUGUCAACGAAAGAGUUUUCUGAAAGGGCUAAAUAAUCUCAACAACUCGCCACGUUUGAAUGAAGACGUUAAUGGCGGUAACUUUUGGGAAUAACUGAGGGGGCUCCCAUCUAAUCACCCACAAAGUUUAGCAAUCCCUCGCUUCCCUGGUGGCUCCUCACAGAUUGAGUUUGCAAAUGUGUUCUUCGAAUUCUUCCGACUCGUCAACUCUCGAUGGUGCUGUGCCUGUAGCGGCUCCUGUCGUGUCAACUUCUAGGCCCAUCGACUUCUAUUUGCGACGAGACUUGACUUUUGUGCGCUCGUCUUGGAUCCCGUGGAAAUCUGAAAUGCACUCCUAAUGCCUGAUCUUAAUAGUUAAACUGGAUGUGAAAUGAAAAGUACAAAAAGCGUCAGCAAACUACCGAGGACACGGUGCAAUAAAUUGAAUCGAUUCGCCUACAGCAAUAGAAAUUCGCAUUGACGUUAGCGUGCAACCACCCGAACUUUUUUUCUGCCAUACACAUCAGAUAGGGUUAUUCAGGUAAGGUGGAAAGCGUUUUCAGGUGAACAAGGUCGUUAAAGUGAGAUGUCGCGUUUUGAAAGUCCAAACACAAUGAAUUCAACCAAACUAUUGUAUAUAAUGGACGUGGAUCAGAUUUACAGUGUAUAGGUCAGAAAUGUUGCACAAGAGUAAUCAGGAAUUAAAAUGAUUUCAGGUUUACAAAAUGCGAUUAUUGUCUUUAGUGAUGUGAAUGUACAACAAUCCUUUUGAACACUGAAAAUCGGUUCCGGGUCGCGAAAGUUUGUAGGUAUGAAACCCAGAAUGACUGAUUAAGGACUUCAUAAGAAAAUUGGAACAAUAGCGGUUAUUGCGUUUGAUUAUGCUCAAUUAAAUAUGUCGUUGGCUCGGAAGGAAGAUGCGUCUGUUGCUCGAGCAAUUAUUCGAAUAGUAUGUGACGCAGUUAGCUUUUUGAAAUUCAGAUUUCUCGGGGUUGUUUGAUGACAACGAAAAGAAGGCAUAACAGAAACAGACAGCGGCUUAUACAAUUUCCAAAGAUUGUCCCACAUGAACGACUUCAAAUAAAGCGCGGGGAGAGGUUACCGGUAUUUAUGUGAUUUAGUUUUACCGUAUUUUAGAUACUGGCAGUAUUGUCGAAUUCCAGAUCAAACAAGGUUCUCUGAGACGGUCGUGCGCUUGAUGUAAAUGCUCGGUGUUACGAAAAAUGUCAACGAAAGAGUUUUCUGAAAGGGCUAAAUAAUCUCAACAACUCGCCACGUUUGAAUGAAGACGUUAAUGGCGGUAACUUUUGGGAAUAACUGAGGGGGCUCCCAUCUAAUCACCCACAAAGUUUAGCAAUCCCUCGCUUCCCUGGUGGCUCCUCACAGAUUGAGUUUGCAAAUGUGUUCUUCGAAUUCUUCCGACUCGUCAACUCUCGAUGGUGCUGUGCCUGUAGCGGCUCCUGUCGUGUCAACUUCUAGGCCCAUCGACUUCUAUUUGCGACGAGACUUGACUUUUGUGCGCUCGUCUUGGAUCCCGUGGAAAUCUGAAAUGCACUCCUAAUGCCUGAUCUUAAUAGUUAAACUGGAUGUGAAAUAAAAGUACAAAAAGCGUCAGCAAACUACCGAGGACACGGUGCAAUAAAUUGAAUCGAUUCGCCUACAGCAAUAGAAAUUCGCAUUGACGUUAGCGUGCAACCACCCGAACUUUUUUUCUGCCAUACACAUCAGAUAGGGUUAUUCAGGUAAGGUGGAAAGCGUUUUCAGGUGAACAAGGUCGUUAAAGUGAGAUGUCGCGUUUUGAAAGUCCAAACACAAUGAAUUCAACCAAACUAUUGUAUAUAAUGGACGUGGAUCAGAUUUACAGUGUAUAGGUCAGAAAUGUUGCACAAGAGUAAUCAGGAAUUAAAAUGAUUUCAGGUUUACAAAAUGCGAUUAUUGUCUUUAGUGAUGUGAAUGUACAACAAUCCUUUUGAACACUGAAAAUCGGUUCCGGGUCGCGAAAGUUUGUAGGUAUGAAACCCAGAAUGACUGAUUAAGGACUUCAUAAGAAAAUUGGAAAAUAGCGGUUAUUGCGUUUGAUUAUGCUCAAUUAAAUAUGUCGUUGGCUCGGAAGGAAGAUGCGUCUGUUGCUCGAGCAAUUAUUCGAAUAGUAUGUGACGCAGUUAGCUUUUUGAAAUUCAGAUUUCUCGGGGUUGUUUGAUGACAACGAAAAGAAGGCAUAACAGAAACAGACAGCGGCUUAUACAAUUAGGGUUUUUGGAUUUCUGUAUCGAGUGCAACAUAUACAAGGCCUAAAAUAUGGAUGGUUCUGAAUCGGGUUUGGUAGGAAUUGGGUGAAUAGAAGACAAUGUCGAAUGGAUCGGGAGUGCAUUUAGAUAAAUUGGAACGAUCAAGGACAAAGCCAACAGCGACUCGGAUGAGGAUGGGUGGAUGCAACAACAGCGGCGAUGGAGAAAUUCGGGAUUGGAAUUGGUCGUAAGCAAAGCGAAACUGGAACAACAUGGCUGAUGGCGAUUCGGGAUUUGAGAUGAUGCACCAGCGAUUAAAAUUUGGAUGGUUCGGGAGCUGCUGUGGAUGGCGAUUCGGGAUUGGAGAUGAUGCACCAACGACUGAAAUUUGGAUGGUUCGGGAGCUUCUGUGGAUGGCGAUUCGGGAUUGGCGAGGAAGCACCAACGACUGCAAUUUGGAUGGCUCGGGAGCUGCUGGAGGAUGGCGAAUCGGGAUUGGAGAUGAUGCACCAACGAUUAAAAUUUGGAUGGUUCGGGAGCUGCUGUGGAUGACGAUUCGGGACAGGAGGUGAUGCACCAACGAUUGGAAUUUGGAUGGCUCGGGAGCUGCUGGAGAUGCCGAUUCGGGAUUGGAGAGAAUGCACCAACGAUUGGAAUUUGGAUGGCUCGGGAGCUGCUGGAGAUGGCGAUUCGGGAUUGGAGAGGAUGCACCAACGAUUGGAAUUUGGAUGGCUCGGGAGCUGCUGGAGAUGGCGAUUCGGGACUGGAGAUGAUGCACCAACGAUUGGAAUUUGGAUGGUUCGGGAGCUGCUGUGGAUGGCGAAUCGGGAUUGGAGAUGAUGCACCAACGAUUGGAAUUUGGACGGUUCGGAGCUGUUGUGGAUGGCGAAUCGGGAUUGGAAUGAUGCACCAACGAUUGAAAUUUGGAUGGUUCGGGAGCUGCUGGAGAUGGCGAUUCGGGAUUGGCGAGGAUGGAUCAACGAUUGGAAUUUGGAUGGUUCGGGAGCUGCUGUGGAUGGCGAUUCGGGAUUGGCGAGGAAGCACCAACGACUGUAAUUUGGAUGGUUCGGGAGCUGCUGUGGAUGGCGAUUCGGGAUUGGAGAUGAUGCACCAAUGAUUAAAAUUUGGAUGGUUCGGGAGCUGCUGUGGAUGACGAUUCGGGACUGAAGGUGAUUCAUCAGCGACGACGAUGGAGCAACAUGGAUAAGGACGAUUCGGGAUUGGAGAUGAUGCACCAACGAUUGGAAUUUGGAUGGUUCGGGAGCUGCUGGAGAUGGCGAUUCGGGACUGGAGAUGAUGCACCAACGAUUGGAAUUUGGAUGGUUCGGGAGCUGCUGGAGAUGGCGAUUCGGGACUGGAGAUGAUGCACCAACGAUUGGAAUUUGGAUGGUUCGGGAGCUGCUGUGGAUGGCGAAUCGGGAUUGGAAUGAUGCACCAACGAUUAAAAUUUGGAUGGUUCGGGAGCUGCUGUGGAUGGCGAAUCGGGAUUGGAAUGAUGCACCAACGAUUAAAAUUUGGAUGGUUCGGGAGCUGCUGUGGAUGGCGAAUCGGGAUUGGAAUGAUGCACCAACGAUUAAAAUUUGGAUGGUUCGGGAGCUGCUGUGGAUGGCGAAUCGGGAUUGGAAUGAUGCACCAACGAUUAAAAUUUGGAUGGUUCGGGAGCUGCUGUGGAUGGCGAAUCGGGAUUGGAAUGAUGCACCAACGAUUAAAAUUUGGAUGGUUCGGGAGCUGCUGUGGAUGGCGAAUCGGGAUUGGAAUGAUGCACCAACGAUUAAAAUUUGGAUGGU